AAAAAAAUUAAUUAUUUUAUUUUCACAUGCACAAGUGCCAAUUGCCUUCAUAGAAUUAUAUCUAUUUAUAUAGAUAUAUAUAAUUCUAUAUAUUUCACUUUCCCUCUACUUCUCUCUAAUUUAUAUUUUAUUUAAAUUAUCCUUUCGCACAUUGUAAACACUAAAAUCUUCUUGUAUUUUAGCAAUGUGGGAAUUCUCUCUUUACUUUCUAACAUACACGCUAUUUAUGACAAUUCUCAACUUAGCUUGUAUGUUAGAUCUCAUUGUUUCUGAGAAUUUAGAGAAAUAGAGAAGAAAGAAAGGAGAUUUUGAGGAAAAAUCAACUUAAUUAAUCCUUUUAAGCUAUGGAUGUAUAUAUAUACAAUUAGAGUCCCUUAGGGAAGAAUUACACAAUUUCA
rnacentral:misc_RNA from 1 species